rnacentral:siRNA from 1 species
UCUACAUUUGAUGGUUUAUAUCGC